rnacentral:rRNA from 1 species
CAAUAGCGUAUAUUAAAGUUGUUGCAGUUAAAAGCUCGUAGUUGGACUUCUGGGUUGUGAUUGUGGUCCGCCUAACGGUGUGCACUGUGGUUGCGACUCUUCUUCCCGUAGUUUGGGUGGCUGCUUAGUUGUGUGCUUUUGGAAUAUGGGACCUUUACUUUGAAAAAUUAGAGUGUUCAAAGCAGGCCUUCGCUUGAAUACAUUAGCAUGGAAUAAUAGAAUAGGACUUUGGUUCUAUUUUGUUGGUUUCUAGGACCGAAGUAAUGAUUAAUAGGGACAGUUGGGGCGAUUAGUAUUUAAUUGUCAGAGGUGAAAUUCUUGGAUUUACGAAAGACGAACAACUGCGAAAGCACUUGCCAAGAGUGUUUUCAUUAAUCAAGAACGAAAGUUAGAGGAUCGAAGACGAUUAGAU